GGGGCAGUAGCUCAGUCGGGAGAGCGCCACAAUGGCAUUGUGGAGGCCCGGGGUUCGAUCCCCCGCUGCUCCACCA
rnacentral:tRNA from 7 species